AUUGAACGCUGGCGGCCGGCCUAACACAUGCAAGUCGAACGAGUGGCGGACGGGUGAGUAAUUUCUGGGAAACUGCCUGAUGGAGGGGGAUAACUACUGGAAACGGUAGCUAAUACCGCAUACCAUCGGAUGUGCCCAGAUGGGAUUAGCUAGUAGGUGGGGUAAAGGCUCACCUAGGCGACGAUCCCUAGCUGGUCUGAGAGGAUGACCAGCCACACUGGAACUGAGACACGGUCCAGCCUCCUACGUGAGGCAGCAGUGGGGAAUAUUGCAAAAUGGGCGCAAGCCUGAUGCAGCCAUGCCGCGUGUAUGAAGAAGGCCUGCGGGUUGUAAAGUACUUUCAGAGGGGAGGCGUUACCCGCAGAAGAAGAACCGGCUAACUCCGAGCCAGCAGCCGCGGUAAUUC
rnacentral:rRNA from 1 species